CAAUCUCAGGGGGUUGUAAGUUUCAAAGACUUUUAAAGUGAUGGAUUUUAAAUGACUUUUGUAGAGAUUUUGUAGACUUUCCUAGAAUCUUUUAAACUUUCA